GUUUUUACACGAGAGAAGGAGAUGAGUUUACCUGUGGGAAAACAACGGGCAAACAACAAACGAUAAAGGACUUUCCUGCUUGGUCUUGUGUUAAAGUUGUGCAGAACUGAAUGAAGAAAUCUCAAAGACAGUGCCAGAAGGAAGCUGGAAAGAUGCAGUGAUGACCAACUUGUACUUGAGUUGUACUUGAGGAAUGCAGUUGGGAAACAUUUUAUACAAGAAAAAAAAAACAAUUAAUAAUUUCCUUUGAGUUCACUGUUGGAUGUUUUAUUUGUUAAAAUAAGUAAACCAACAAAUUGAU